rnacentral:rRNA from 1 species
GAUGAACGCUAGCUACAGGCUUAACACAUGCAAGUCGAGGGGAAACGGCAUUGAGUGCUUGCACUCUUUGGACGUCGACCGGCGCACGGGUGAGUAACGCGUAUCCAACCUUCCCAUUACUGUGGGAUAACCUGCCGAAAGGCAGACUAAUACCGCAUAGUCUUCGAUGACGGCAUCAGAUUUGAAGUAAAGAUUUAUCGGUAAUGGAUGGGGAUGCGUCUGAUUAGCUUGUUGGCGGGGUAACGGCCCACCAAGGCUACGAUCAGUAGGGGUUCUGAGAGGAAGGUCCCCCACAUUGGAACUGAGACACGGUCCAAACUCCUACGGGAGGCAGCAGUGAGGAAUAUUGGUCAAUGGACGGAAGUCUGAACCAGCCAAGUAGCGUGCAGGAUGACGGCCCUAUGGGUGGUAAACUGCUUUUGUAUGGGGAUAAAGUUAGGGACGUGUCCCUAUUUGCAGGUACCAUACGAAUAAGGACCGGCUAAUUCCGUG